ensembl:lncRNA
CUCAGAGCCGCGGGGCGCGACUCAGCGCUGCACGUCUCGUCUGCUGCCUUCAAACAGAGCUCUCUGCUGUCGCUCUGGCCGUUACCGACCCGUGGCUCUCUAGAGGAAUAGGGACUGACUGUUCUUCGGUGAGAAACCUGCCAGAAAGACGAACUUAAACUGAGACGAUGUGUGUUUUUAAAAGCAGUCAUCCCUCCCUCCGACAGUUCUCAGUGUGCAAAUGACUGCAUUGGAUGGAAAAAAUCGUGCAGGGACUCCCGGAAGGAGCAGCUCAGUGGCACAAAGCACUGCAGCGAUGCGCUGUGCCGGGCAUAAGUCUGGCAGCCACAAGGCAGCACAGAGAAUUAAAAAUGGACUUCUGCAGGAGGAUGAGAGGCUGCGAGCCUGCUGAUUAUACCUCUGUCUGCAAGCUCACCUGCAGCCUGGAGGCAGACGACGCUGUAUGCCUGAGGACAGGCACCUCCUGCUGUACUGCCCCUGCUCUGCUCACACACCACAGCUCAGGCUCCAAUAGGUGCGUCCUCUUUGGGGAAACAGAAAUGUACUUCAAAACUUUAAAUCCGUGGCUGCUUGUGCUACUGGGAUCGCUGCUGGGAGGGAGGUUCCCCCACUGCACGAGUCCAUUCCUCCACCUGAACGGCACAGCAGCCCUUUUCUGCUCACUGUAAUUUUGAUUUUAAAAGCAUAAAAGCAUGUGCAUUAUCUUCCAUUCCCAUGCCACACAGAGCUGCAGAGUGUGAAUGAAAUCCCAUGUCAGAUGAAAAUGGGAAACGUAGCCACAUGCUUACAUAUGAUUCUGUGUUAGGAGGUUGGGACUUUGGCAGGACGUGUUCAGCUCUGCUGACAGGUUUGUGUGUGCUCAGUGGGACUCCCACUGGGUUCUCAGGAGCUCUGCAGCCCCGUGUGCAGCACUGCUGGUGCCCGGCUGCCAUCCUGGACGAGCACUGUUUUCCAGAUUUGACUCUUCUUUAUUGUGUGCAAACUGAAGUCCAUUUGCACCCUCUCCAGUGGCCCUGCAGCUGCCAACGUUACCUCAGACACCUCCAGAACAUCUUCUGUGGAAGCUGGUGUUAAGUGAUGUUGGACACACCUCUGCAGGAGCAGCAUUUUCCUCCUGCGUUGUGUGGCACAUUGUGGCACGCAUGCAGAUGCGGGUGGAUGGGAUCCCUGUAACACCACAGGUAAUGCAAAAGUUGUAAAUGGUCCGUGAUAGGAGCGUGCUGCACCACGCUGCUCGGGAAGGUCUGCCAGGAAGGUCUGCUUAAACAGAGCUGUAAUUUGUUGAAAUAACACUGCCCAUCAGAGACCAAUAUAGCAGGUUAACUAUAGCAGGAAGGCUGGGAUUCUGGCUGGCGAUGGAGCAUGAACAGCCUGCCCACAGGUGGAAGCAGCCAGCAUGUUCCUCAGUGCUUCUGCCAAACUAAAUGAGCAGCAGUGGUGAGAAACACAAUCUCCUCGGGGGAGGAAGCAGGAGAUGUGCUCCCAUUGCUCAGCAGAUUUGAAAGAGCAGCAGAGAUCAGUGCUGGCUCUCCUGUCACACUGUACGUCAUUGCUUGCCCGUGGUUCAAGGACCUGGAGCUUUUUUGAGAGCUCUGCGUAUGAUGAAAGUCUUCCCCACACAAACAGCUCAAUCUCACAUAGAACUAUCCAGCAUUAUCGCGUUGGGCUUGGGACUCACAGGACCUGAGCUCACGUGUUUUGCCAACAACCCCCUCUGUAGUUUUAGGUUCCUCGCUUAUGUUGUUACCUGUUGCCCACCCAUGGAAUUGCAGAAGGUGUUUCCCAGCCCUGCGCCCUGCCUCCAGCAGCAGGGAGGGUUGCUGCAUGCGGUGGCUGUGAGCUGGGGGGUCGGGAUGCAUUCACAGUGCACUUCUGUAGCACAGUGCCAAAGCCCAACAUCUGCUUCCCAGUGACUUUUUCCACUCACAACCUUGUUAUUUCUCAUCUGUGAUUACAAAACUCGGGUGUUUACCAGCACCACGUGCUCAAAAAGACAUGGAUCUGCAUUUUUCAGAUUCCUUCUGUGAAAUACAACCCUGUUUCCAGACAGGAUGUAGUGUUGGCAGAAGUGCAGAUUUCUCACAUGAGGAACAGAGCCUGAAGGUUUCAGGGCUGCUGUGCUGCACUGUGGAUGCAAAGCACCACACACUGGCAGAGCUUUGCAUGCUGCUGGGGAAUGGAGACCCACAGAGCCCAUGGAUAACCUGAUCCCGAGUCAGGAGCACACAGGGGGGACGGAGAGGCUGUAAAAGUAACUCCUGUGCAGCCCGAUCCCAUGCAGUGAAUUCUCACAGCCCACACGGAGCUGUUUCCCAGUGACUUCUGUGCAGCCACGGGCAGCCAACAAGUUGCUGCACAGCACUGCGUGCUGCUAUACACCGCUGCGUGCUGCUGCAUGCCACAACAUGAUGCUGCACACUGCUGCAUGCCUCUGCUACACCGCUGCACGCCGCUGCACACUGCCACAUGGCUUCAGAACCAGGAACCAGCUGAAGAGCUCACAGCAGGACUGAAAAGCCAUGCUGGGCCACAGUGUGCAGGACUGAGCCCCCACAGACCGCGUUUCAUUGACUCACAUGGUAACAUUUUUCUCUUUAGCAUUUCCAGUAACAUUGCAACACAUUUCACAGAAUGCUCUAUUUAAGGUCAUACCCUUGGCCGUUUGCUACUAAAACCUCACAAUUGUAAUUUUCCAGUACUAAGAACAAAGCGACUGGGAAUGGCUGUGAUGCAGGCAGGGAAAGGGUUGGGAGGCCGCAGGUGCUUACAUGGAGAGGUGCCAUUCCAAGCACAGGGAAGCAGUCGGCGGCAGAGCACACCAGGCAGAACGUGCUGGUACCUGAGCAGGACACUGCCAGUGCAUAAAGAAAACUCCGGAGAAUGUUUCCACGUUGGGAUGUAACUCUGAAUGGAAAAGGUCUUCCAGAAGUUGGCUCCAGACCCUCAUCCUCGGUCGGUGGAGUCACCGAGCCUGGUGGUGUUCAAAGAGCGUUUGGACGUUGUGUUGAGGGACGUGGUUUAGUGAGAACCAUUGGUGAAGGGCGAAUGGUUGGACUGCGUGAUCCUGUGGGUCUUUUCCAACCUUAGCAAUUCUAUGAUUCUAUGAUUCUAUGAGCCUUCUUCAGGUGCUGUAAUACAGUUUUAGGAGGUUCCUGGGCAAAGUGCUAACAAUGGAAUACCGGCACUGUGCAAUUCCAGUGGAGCCGUUCAGCCCAUCCCCGCUCAUCCGCAGCCCCCACUGCUGCACAGAUCCGUUCCUGGGAGGCACUGCUGGCACUCGCAGUGCGUGGCUCUGCUGGCCCCGCUCGGCUCCUCUCACUGCAGCCCCAAAACUGCUCUAUCCACCGCGGGCUUUAACUUCCAUCAGCAUAUCAACCUGAUUUCUGCUAAUAGGAAAAUGAAAUGUGUCUUUCUGUCUCCAUUUUGCAAAAGAUAAAGAACUAAGAGUGUGCGUGACAUGACAGAACCUCAAUCUGACCUUCUCCUUGGGCAUUAUUAAUAGUAAAUGCAUAUCGGGUGGUUUCACAACGACCUUGAGAGCGAGUGACACAUCUCACCUGCUGGGGCGCAGUUCCCCAGGCAUUUUGGAAAAGGAAAUCCUUAUUUCUAUUAACUUAUGGGGAAAAUGGAAGCACUGCGGUGUCCAUGCAGAGGUUUUUCCAGUGUCCCAAAACGCCCAACGCAGAAAUGCCCGCGGGUUUUGGGGGCUUACCUGUAAGCACUGUAUUUACUGUGGGCUAAUGAAGAAGAAAUAAAAUUCAACUUCAACCUCCUUCCAAUUUGCAAGUUAUGAAAAAUGCUUCUAGAAGGGAGCUAAUAAAUGUGAUGGAUGUGCUCGGUGGUAAUUGAUCAUUUAUUUUGAACAAAUCCUGGCAAACAUUUAAUUCUACUAUUCAU